rnacentral:miRNA from 1 species
AUGUGUUCUGAAGGAUAA